rnacentral:rRNA from 1 species
AACGAACGCUGGCGGCAGGCUUAACACAUGCAAGUCGAACGCCCCGCAAGGGGAGUGGCAGACGGGUGAGUAACGCGUGGGAACGUGCCCUUCGCUUCGGAAUAGCCCCGGGAAACUGGGAGUAAUACCGAAUACGCCGUAUUGGGAAAGAUUUAUCGGCGAAGGAUCGGCCCGCGUUAGAUUAGCUAGUUGGCGGUGUAAUGGACCACAAAGGCUACGAUCUAUAGCUGGUCUGAGAGGAUGAUCAGCCACACUGGGACUGAGACACGGCCCAGACUCCUACGGGAGGCAGCAGUGGGGAAUCUUGGACAAUGGGCGCAAGCCUGAUCCAGCCAUGCCGCGUGAGUGAAGAAGGCCUUAGGGUUGUAAAACUCUUUCGCCGGAGAAGAUAAUGACGGUAUCCGGAGAAGAAGCCCCGGCUAACUUCGUGCCAGCAGCCGCCGUAACAC